rnacentral:lncRNA from 1 species
AUGAUUGUCACUGUAGUUUGUUUUGCAUGCUGCAUUAGCCUGUUAAGAGUUUGCACAGCAGUAAGAUGUUUUAUCUGUGUCUGUCAGGCACAUCCAGUGUUCCUCGACAUCCAGGAAGUUUGUCAGCAUGUGGACCAAGAGAUCUCGCAGCAGCCUGCAGAGACACCAACACAAGGCGCUUCUUUACUGGUUCUAAACAAGAGCUCAGCAGCAGAGGAACCAGCUCUUGAAGAUCUGUUCAGCCCACGGCCAGAUGUUUCAUCACAACAGACAAAGCAGCCCUCGUCCACCAAUGAGCUGAUGGAAGUGUUUUCCACCCCACUGGAGGAGCCUUUGACACCCAGUCAGAUCCCAGGUAUCAGUAAGCCAGAGCCUCCACAGCAACAGCAAGUGCUCUCCAGCUCGCAGAUUCUCUCUAUGUUCCCCACACAUCCUGUAGGUGGCUCUCCAUACUCAUCCCCCACAUACCCUCCAGCCAGCAUGCCUUGGGGCCAGCAGGCACUUCCAGGAAACCAGUGGGCGGCCCCGUGGCCCACUGUGCCUGGCAACAUUUCACCAUGGGCACCACCAGGUGUCACAGUAUCCCCUACAUUAAGCCAGCCUCCCAGCAUGGCCAACCCUCAGCCCAGUUUCAUGGUGGGAGGAAACGCACCCCCUACACCCUCUGGUGUUAACAGCUACUCCACCCCUUUACACUCCUUAAACUCCACCCCUACAGGAACAACAGCAGCGCCACUGUCAGUGUCCUCACCCUUGGAGAACCCCUCCCUCCUUUGAAAUGAGUGUGGAUAUGUGAAUUUAUUGAGUUGAUGCUUUGUUUUUAGAACUUUUAGUAAAAGAAAACAUCACCACACACCUAUAAUGAAGCUCUAAAUUAUAGCACCAAUAUUCUUAUAUCGUCAUUUUCUUAUAUAUUUAACUACUUUAAGGGCUGCCAUGAGAUGAGAGGUGGGGUAGACUGGACAGGUUUCAAGUCCUUCACAGGGGCUAACAGAGAUAGACAGACAACAGUUCAUGCUCAUAUCUACACCUACGGCUGAUUUACAAUCACCAGUGAACCUAAACUGACUUCAGAAGCCAGAGAACCCAUAGAGAACCACACAGGCACAGGGAGAGUGCGUGAGCAUGCAAACGGCACUCAGAAAGCCCCCAGACUGAGUCUGACUCCUCUUGCUGUAAGCCAACAGUGUUGAGUAGCAGUGUUGUGUAGUCCGCAUAUUUUCGAUAGGAUUGAGGUUGGGGCUUUGGGAAGGUCAUUCCAGAGGCUUGAUGUUAGCAUGCUUUAUCCAUUAGGGUCAUUGUCCUGUUGGAACAUCCAGUUGUGUCCAAGUUUCAAGCGUCUAACUGUUGAUUAGAGAUUAAUUUGAUGAGUUCAGAGGUAGUACUUCUCCUUCAUUAUUCAAUCCACUUUGUGUAAUGUACCAGUAUCAUUUGCAGCAAAACAGCCCCAGAGCAUGAUGCUACCACCACCAUACCUGAUAGCUGGUACAGUGUUAUUAGGCAUGAAAGCCUCACUUUUACUCUUCCAAACAUGCCUCUUGUCAUUUGGAAAAAUAGCUCAAUCUUUGUCUCAUCUGACCAUAAAACUUUUCUCCAGAAGCCGUUUGGUUUGUCCAUGUGGACAACUGCAUAUUUCAGUUGAGGUUGAAGGUGCCAGUUUUGGAGCAGGAGCUUCUUUCUUGAUCAAUACCAUCUCAGACGGCAAUACUCACUUUACUGUGGACAGUGACGGUGCUGUUCCAGAUGUUUCCAGUUCAUGGCAGGCUUGAGCCUUUUCCUUUCAUCUGAGGGUCUCCUUUCAGACCUUCACAAAGGGAUGAUCCUGGAAUCUGCAGUUAGAAAUGCCCCAUUAAACGUCUGGAAUAGCCUUCAGAAAGCCCCGACUUUAAACUUCUUGAAAAGUUAUGGACUACUCUUAAAAUCCAGAUCUUUGAACUCUUGUAGCUCAACAUGGCAACAGCAAAUAAAUAAAUAUUAAAAUACUAUUAAUACCAUUAAUAAUAGCCUAAACAGAAAACAAAUCGUACAAUUUUAAUUUCUAAUAAAUAUCUAAUAAAAUUUUUGUGCUGAACAGUGAAAUCUGUCAAUAAAUGCUCACAACUUCCAACUUUGUUUUUUCAUACAAUUCAUUCAUUCAUUCAAAAAUCCUGUAGUCGGUAAAUUGCAAAGUAGCAUUCAGAUAGAUGAAUAGAUUGUAGAUAUGAGGAGCUGAUGUUGAUCACUUACUAUGUUCACUUUUUUAAACAGGACUUUUUGAAAUGGACUGUUUAAGCAUUUGAUUUGUGAAAUUUGUUGAUAUCAAAUAAACUCCAACUUUCUGUCUUGUUAAAAGGGAUUUUGUGGGGUUUUGGCUCAUUCACAGACAAUACUGUGUUUUGGGGAAGUUUUUUCUCUCUCUAAAUCAGAGUGUGGGGAAGUCUAAUUUACACAAUAUAUAAUCUUUUUAAGAAACUUGUGACUUCCUCAGAUUUUGGCUAUGAAAAGACGGCUGACUACAUGACGUGUACAAGAUGAAUAAAUUACAUAACGUACGAGGAAACCCCCGCUCUUACUUCACUAAAAUUCUCGUCCUUUCAUGUAUUUUUCAACUUCUCCUCGUCUUAUCUAAAUAAGGUUAUUUUAUUCUUACCUGCCUUAAUUAAUUUGCUUUUCUUCACUUCAUGCGCUCGCACAUGAUAAAACGCAAAGAGUAGAUUAACAAAAGCACACAGUGAGAUUAAUGGUACACUUUGUAAGGCCUGGUUGGAUGUUGUUGUGCACAUUAUGAUAAGGCUGACCUUUCAGGAUGAAAUGAAACAAAGUGGUACGCCUAUUAUUUUCUGCUCUUAUUCUUAUGUUGUGUCACUAACAGUCACCCUCUUGCCCACACUGAAUUGCAGAGCAUUUCCUCAUUCGCAGUAAGCUCAGUGUGGUUGUGCAUGCAGCAGCACACACAGCUACAUCAGCCUGGAUACUGGUGUUACUACUAGACAUGGAACGCUUUGACCACUAAUA